ACGGAAGGCAGCAGUGGGGAAUAUUGGACAAUGGGGGAAACCCUGAUCCAGCGACGCCGCGUGAGUGAAGAAGUAUUUCGGUAUGUAAAGCUCUAUCAGCAGGGAAGAAAAUGACGGUACCUGACUAAGAAGCCCCGGCUAACUACGUGCCAGCAGCCGCGGUAAUACGUAGGGGGCAAGCGUUGUCCGGAAUGAUUGGGCGUAAAGGGCGCGUAGGCGGCCUGGUAAGUCUGAAGUGAAAGUCCUGGCUUUAAGUUGGGAAUUGCUUUGGAUACUGUCGGGCUUGAGUGCAGGAGAGGUCAGUGGAAUUCCCAGUGUAGCGGUGAAAUGCGUAGAGAUUGGGAGGAACACCAGUGGCGAAGGCGACUGACUGGACUGUAACUGACGCUGAGGCGCGAAAGUGUGGGGAGCAAACAGGAUUAGAUACCCUGGUA
rnacentral:rRNA from 1 species